AAAAUCGUCAUCCUUAUUCAUACAUACCAUUCAGUGCGGGACCACGUAACUGUAUCGGCCAACGAUUUGCUAUGCUGGAAAUGAAGGCUAUGAUAGCUCCUCUAAUACAUAAUUUCUACGUCGAGCCUAUUGAUUAUCUAAAGAAUAUUCAAAUACAAGCUGAUUUGGUUAUUCGACCUGUUCCUCCAUUUCGUGUAAGAUUUGUUCCUGUCCGUGAAACGAAUGCAAGCCUUUGAAGCAAAUAACAAUUUAUGAACAUUGUUGAAGGUAAAGGGAAGACUCUGUUUGUCUACCAAACGAUUUUGUAGGCAACGCUAACAGUGUAAUAGUAACAUUUAAUGCAUAUGUUAUUAUCAGAGGUCAUAAAAAUUGUAAUAUAAAUAAAAUAUAAUAAAUACAAGAUAUAUUAUAAAUAAA